UAGGUUGGCUAAGGACAGGGGAGUGGCAAGGGAGGGCACAAGGGAUGGGUCAGCUCCAUCGAUGCACCCCAGCAGUAAGUUACCUGGCGGGCGGCGCACCUGAGCCGCCGAGAGGCCCCCGGGACAUGCCCUGCGGUAUUCCCGUAUUAGGUAAACAACUCCUGACCGACCCUUCGUCCCUCUCGCCUCCUCCACCUUGCCUCUCCUCAUCCCGUCUACCCAGGGCCCUCACAGCACCACACAUCCCUCCCUCGGGGUUCGCUUAACACCCAUAGCAUAGUAUAUUCGAUAAUUAAUCCUUUCUGCCUUCUUUUUUCUACGUCUGGCACCGAGCAAGUGUAGUGCACGUGUCUGUCGCUGGUCUCGCGCGGUGACUUUUAGCCAGGCUGCUUUCUAGCGUUUACUAUCACGGAUACUCAUCUCCCUCGACGCCUCUACACGCCAAACAGGUAUCGUCUACAUAAUCAAGUGUAUUUAACGGGCCCGCAUGAUAGAUUCCUUUGCUAAAUAAUUGCUAUAACACGUUGCCCGCGGCGCGAACAAGUCCACAUUCCAGAGUCACCGCAAUGCCUCCCCGCCUGGCUCCUCCCACCCGCCCUCCAAUUGGCCCGCGACCCUCCUCUCCUCUUUCUCAUUGGUCGCUGGCUUCAAAAUCUGAGUUCUCAUUGGCAGUCGAGUAUCCUUGGACUCGGCACGGGAAGCAGUACAAACCCCUGCACCGUGAUUUCUGUUCACCACAGCCUACCUGACCACGACCAGAGACGGACGUGUCCAGUGAGCCUCCUGCCAGCACACCCUCUGUACGCCCGCCGCCCCAACUCUGCACCAUGAAGGCCCAAGUGUGUGAAGCCCCGAUGACCAGCAUUCCCGCCAUCAGGAGCGGGAAGGUGUCCAAGAGCCGAGAGGAGGACUUCGAGAUCUCCCUUUACCUGGACAAGCUGAGGCACCUGUUGCCCGCUACCACCACCACCACCGCCCCCAGCGCCCCCACCAGAAAAUCCCACGACAAGAAGCUAAACAGACUGGAGGUGAUCGAGAAUGUGAUCCAGUACAUCAGCGAGCUGCAGGAAGUUCUCAACAUCGACGUGCACGCCCGCGAGAUGGACCUCCUGGAGUACGAGACGAGCAGCAUCACCCUUGCCGCGUGAGGAAGCUGCCAGCGAGAGGAGAGAGUCGCCGCGGCCUGCACCUCGCCCGCCACGCACGCACGCACGCACACCAGCCUUGAGGUCCUCCCGCACCUGUUACACGACCUCGCUCGCCUCACCAGCGGAGAGAGCGAGGGGGAGGGAGGGAGGACCCGACCAACCUCGUCUGUAGGACACCAGGAAGAUAGCAAUUACCUGGCGAGUACCUGCGGGGCCACUCAAGCGAAACUGACCCCGACCCGACAACUUCCACCUGCUAAAAAUCUGACGGAUAUGAAUCGGUUCCCUGGUGCUGCGUGUGCGUGUGUGCGUGCCUGUAACUCAUGACUAGCGGCGAGUGCAGUGCCCCGCUCGGUGAACUCCAGUGACAAAGUUCCUAGAGAAGUGACCGCGAGUCGCCGCCCGAUUUGAGCGACUCGAGAUAAAACUAACAAGAACAAAGAAAUUCCAGUGUUUGUUGUGUGUGUGCGUGUGUAUUAGUCUGUUGGUAGAAAAAUCAUACAGUACAAGAACACCCAUCACCACCCCCACCCCGACGUCGUUGCUGCAGAGGCGCCGCGCGUCCUGCAGGGGCGCGACAAACUGUUGUAACUCAUGAUCUCGUGGAGGCGCUGCUCCGCGGACCUCCAGCUGCCGCCACCUAAGUGUCCCCGCCGGUUGUGUACUUCGUCCUGAGAGCGACUGACACUCAUUCAUUCCUCACGACGCCCCACUCCACGACGUCCCUCACACCCUUCCCCUACACCCGUCUCGCCUCCAAGUCCCGCUCCACUGUCGUACAAGCCACCAGACUGGCCAUGGCAUACCUUGGCAGGCAUCGCAUCACUCGUCACCUCUCGGCGUUGCUUCCUCACAAAGGAGCGACGUCCCCGCGACAACACCCGCGGACCCAAGGCGCCCAAACCCAAUCCCAAGAAGGUGACGUCACCAAAAGAAAUGCUGCCCCUUCGUGAUCUGACGGCCCAUCACCCUCCCACCUGCCUCGAAGAUGUUAUCACGAAGGGCGUGACGAGGAUCGAGAUCCUGCGGUUCCAGCUAAGUGCGUUCGGGCCGGGUGAGAGGCGAAGGGAGGAGAUGCGGGGAGCUCGGAGCGGAUCCUCGGUAACCUGAGAUGCUGAAGAACGUUAUCCCUCCCGAGGCUCGGCCAGCCCGCGGCCGCGACAGGUGCACCUCCCGGGCCCGGCCACGCUCGGCCAUCCCCUCCCUUGCCUCGCCCGCCCGCCCGCCGGGGGACCACCCACCCGGCCCGCCUCACUGGCACCGCUGGCAACCGAGAUGUGAAGAACAUUUCUCGCCUCGCUGCCCCUCAAGGCGAUUACCAGUGCCCGCGCCCGCCGUCGGCCGGGCCCUCCACGCCAGGACACGAACACUGUUGUAGAUUAAAAUGGAUUCGGUGCUACAAAUCGCAAGGUGCUUGUUACUCCUUCCCCUGCCCCUCUCAGUCCCCCCGCCCCGGCCACUCAGCCAGGGACGCCGCGUGGCAAGAGUCAGGUCGGCUUCUUCGGCUGGCUGGGGGGGGGGACCUGUGGUGGUUCUCCCCGACUGUUUACAAAUAUCUCACCAAGCUUCGUAAUUACUUUGGUCGCUUAUUAUUUUUAUAUAGGACAUAGUGUUUGGAUGUGUGUGUGUGUGUGUGUAUGUGUGUGUAUGUAUGCGCACGAGCGAGUCAUUCUCAUUGCCCCAUCGUGAGUGUUGCAAGUGUUGUGUGGGUGUGUUGUGGCGAGGCGCGUGGUGAGUGUUGCUCCGCCUCAAAGAACAACGUCCACCCUCGUUAGGCGGGGCAGGGGGGCGGGGAGGGGAGGGUUGCCUAAUCUCUGGGUCCUCGCGCUGAUCCCACCUGCAGAUUACACACACACACACACACACACACACUGAAUGAGUCCCUCGGUUCUUCUCCCACUCUGCCUUCCUUUCUCCCUCCUCCUCCUUCUCUCCCUCUUCAGACUCCCUCCACGACAAAAGGACUGCUUAAUGGGCGGUUUGGAGGUCGUGUAAGAGAUCUUGAGGCCUGAUUGUUCUUUCCCUCCACCUCCCCUUCCUCCCUCCCCCUCUCAUCCCCUCCUUCCACCAUCACGAAGGAAAGAAAACAUUGAAACUUCACUGUAAAGAGGACCGGAGCAGGUGGGAUUCUGUCGCCAUGGUCCAGCGUUUUGGUUACCUUUUCCUCCUUUCAUUUUUUUUUUUUUUAUCUCCCUCCUUUUGCACUUUGUUGGAGGUGGUGGUGGUGGUGGUGGUGUCCGGUGGAGGAGCAAGCGUCCCCUCCACCGUCAUUACUUAUCAUGAUGACCUGUUACUGUUGUCAUCGUCGUCGUUGUUGUUGAUGUUGUUGUUGUUGGGUUAUCAUGUAUACUCUGCCGGGUUACCCUCAUCCUCAUUACUACCGUUGCUGCUUUUGUGCUGCCGCUAAUGUCGCUUGUAUUACCAUUUACUACCAUUACCACCAACAACAACUACGGCUUCAGUCUCCUACUAAUACAGCAGCCCUCUCACUCGCCUCUCAUUGUUCUAUAUCAUGAUGUCAUUGUAAGUCUUGGAGCACAGAGAGAAAAACUACAUUGUUCAUCCAUUUUGCCGAUCAGUAAAAAUGUGAGAAAAUGUAUAAAAAAAUGUUUUGUUGAUGAUUAGGCGUGCAGUAUAUGUAAAAACGGAGGAAUUUAUUGUUAUUAUCAUUAUCAUUAUUUUUUCAUGGGGCAUUUUUUUAAAGUCUUGUGAUUCUGUGAAGAUUGCCGUGGCUAGGCGAGGGGGGUUGGGGGGUGGGUGGGGGGUGUUGGGCAAAGUGGCAGCGGGUUCCGGGGCGCACACGAGGCCACUCAAAUAUACACCUGACAGGAAGUAGAAAAAAAAAAAUGAUAAUGUCCCUGAAAAAUUAAAAAGGAAAAUAAAACAAAUGUAAAAUGCUAAACAACUGCAUUAUUGUUUUUACAUUCUCCAAUGUUUGUAAAUGAACGUCGAUAGGAGAAAAAAAUCGCGUUACGUAGAAUGCUAAAUCACUGGACCUUUUCAUUGUUAUAUUUGCUGUGUGUCUACCCCCGUGUGGCGCCCCUGGACUCGCUCUCUCAUGACUCCUGUGAUAGUCCGGCCUUUGUGGUCCGCGCCGGCAACCAAUGUGUAUAUUUAUUGUAAUUAAACUUCCAUUUUGUAUAA